UACGUAGGAUGCGAGCGUUGUCCGGAAUUAUUGGGCGUAAAGAGCUCGUAGGCGGCUUGUCACGUCGGGUGUGAAAGCCCGGGGCUUAACCCCGGGUCUGCAUUCGAUACGGGCUGGCUAGAGUGUGGUAGGGGAGAUCGGAAUUCCUGGUGUAGCGGUGAAAUGCGCAGAUAUCAGGAGGAACACCGGUGGCGAAGGCGGAUCUCUGGGCCAUUACUGACGCUGAGGAGCGAAAGCGUGGGGAGCGAACAGG
rnacentral:rRNA from 1 species